AUUGAACGCUGGCGGAAUGCUUUACACAUGCAAGUCGAACGGCAGCACGGACUUCGGUCUGGUGGCGAGUGGCGAACGGGUGAGUAAUGUAUCGGAACGUGCCCAGUCGUGGGGGAUAACGUAGUGAAAAUUACGCUAAUACCGCAUACGAUCUCUGGAUGAAAGCGGGGGAUCGCAAGACCUCGCGCGAUUGGAGCGGCCGAUAUCAGAUUAGGUGGUUGGUGGGGUAAAGGCCCACCAAGCCAACGAUCUGUAGCCGGUCUGAGAGGACGACCAGCCACACUGGAACUGAGGCACGGUCCAGACUCCUACGGGAGGCAGCAGGUGGGAAUUUUGGACAAUGGGCGAAAACCUGAUCCAGCCAUUCCGCGUGCAGGAUGAAGGCCCUCGGGUUGUAAACUGCUUUUGUACAGAACGAAAAGGUUUCUACUAAUACUAGGAGCUCAUGACGGUACUGUAAGAAUAAGCACCGGCUAACUACGUGCCAGCCGCCGCGGUAA
rnacentral:rRNA from 1 species